rnacentral:rRNA from 1 species
UUGUCCUUAGUUACCAGCACGUUAUGGUGGGCACUCUAAGGAGACUGCCGGUGACAAACCGGAGGAAGGGUGGGGAUGACGUCAAGUCAUCAUGGCCCUUACGGCCUGGGCUACACACGUGCUACAAUGGUCGGUACAAAGGGUUGCCAAGCCGCGAGGUGGAGCUAAUCCCAUAAAACCGAUCGUAGUCCGGAUCGCAGUCUGCAACUCGACUGCGUGAAGUCGGAAUCGCUAGUAAUCGUGAAUCAGAAUGUCACGGUGAAUACGUUCCCGGGCCUU